ensembl:snRNA U5 U5 spliceosomal RNA
AUACUCUGGUUUCUCUUCAGAUCAUACAAAUCGUUCGCCGUUUACUAAAGAUUUCAGUGGAGAGGAAAAGUGUUGUAUUCACAAUAGCC